rnacentral:rRNA from 1 species
ACGAACGCUGGCGGCAUGCCUAACACAUUCCAGUCGAACGAGACCUUCGGGUCUAGUGGCGCACGGGUGCGUAACGCGUGGGAACCUGCCCUUAGGUUCGGAAUAACUCCCCGAAAGGGGUGCUAAUACCGGAUAAUGUCUUCGGACCAAAGAUUUAUCGCCUUUGGAUGGGCCCGCGUUGGAUUAGCUAGUUGGUAGGGUAAAAGCCUACCAAGGCGACGAUCCAUAGCUGGUCUGAGAGGAUGAUCAGCCACACUGGGACUGAGACACGGCCCAGACUCCUACGGGAAGCAGCAGUGGGGAAUAUUGGACAAUGGGCGAAAGCCUGAUCCAGCAAUGCCGCGUGAGUGAUGAAGGCCUUAGGGUUGUAAAGCUCUUUUACCCGGGAUGAUAAUGACAGUACCGGGAGAAUAGGCUCCGGCUAACUCCGUG